rnacentral:lncRNA from 1 species
GAUGGGAGUAGAAGUUAGCAUCGAGUGAACCUAAGGAUGGGAACUCACCUACCAGUUCAGGGUGUGAUUCUUAGCAGUCAUCCUUAUGUUCUAGAACUAUGUAACCAGCAUAGUUUGAGACAUUUUAACCUAUCAAAUUAGGGUUGAUGAGGUGGAUUAACCUGUCAGUUUAUGGUUCCCACCAUUCUUAUUUGAGUACCUACCAGAUAAGGGUCACUCAUAGUUGUCCUUACCAG